CGCACCCCUGAUAAGGGUGAGGUCCCUGGUUCGAGUCCAGGAUGGCCCA
rnacentral:tRNA from 1 species